CAGCCGCACUUAAAGGAAAAUGGAAAUUCAUUUAUUUCUAUUUUAAUAAAGAAAUACUAAAAAGAAGAAGCUAAACCGGUUACCAUAAUAAAUAAAAUCCAGGAAUAUGGGAUCUCAACUGUCCUUGGAGUGGUUGUUUCGAUAAUUAAUUUAUUAAUUAAGCCAUGGGGGAGGAUUAUAACAAUAGAUCAAACGUCUCAUUAUCUCAAGGAUGUUGUGAACUUGUCUCUUAUGAAGUAUCUGAGACUCGGAGUCGAUCCUUGGACUGAGGUUUGAGCCCGGAAAUGGAAGUUCGACCUUUCAUUGAGUUGAGCUCAUUAUGUAAUUAGAAUUGUGCACCGCAAUUUUAGUUUUAUGUCAUGAAUAAUGAUAAAAUCAUUACUUACACAUUGUUUGGUCAUCAUCAAUUAUCACAAAAUUGUUCACUGUACCUAUUGAAUCGUCUUCCUCUAUGGAUCACUUUUCACUUUUUUUUUAUAACUCUGAAGUUAGACCUGGAGGAUCCGUUUGGUUCACCCAUAACUCAGUCAAAUAUUGCUGCUACAACAUGUGUCGUCUUCUCAGUAUCUCGAAAUUGUUCAAUAGGAAUUUAUUUUUAAAAUUUCUUAAUGGUUUUAUUUGCUGAUGUUGAUCAAUAAAGGAUUCAUUCAAAACCCCAGUGAAUCAAUUUCGUACACUUAUAGGAAUAUCAAGUGGAAAGUGGAAAAAUUAAAAAACCUAUUAAAACUUUCUUACCUACAAUUACCACAUUGAAUUUCAAGACGCAGAUUGGACUUAAAAGCUGUAGUUAAGAAUGUAAAUAAGACGGAUGCUACACAAUUUGAGCCUUUCUUACAUGUUUCCUAUAAAACAUGUUUUAAAUCCCAUCAAACAUUUAGGGGAGAACCUGGUGAAUUGGAACGGUGAGUGAAAACGUACACUCGAUUUUUUCGGAAACUAUCAUUGUUAAAUUGGUUUGAUCAAGUUCAAUCUUGUCCAAAGGACAGUAUUUUAUUUGUUAUGUAAUGGAUUUACUGAGGAAUGUACGUGCAAAGAUUUAGAGAACAUGUAAGUUUGAUGGGUGCUUUUUUAUCAUUUUUAGUCAGAUGUUAGCAAAUAUAUCUAAUCAAGUUUUAAUUUUA
rnacentral:lncRNA from 1 species